UUAUUUGAAAUAGGAUACAACCUCCAACACUGGGUAAAGUGUAGUGGUCCAAACAAAGUGGGCCUAAAAGCAGCCACCUUUCAAAAAGCGUCAUAGCUUAACCCCCCUCACACUCCAAUUCGUAAAAUCACCCUCAACCCUUAAUUAGUACUGAACUAUUUUAUAUUUUUAUAAAAAUAAUUAUGCUAGAACUAGUAACAAGAAAUUGCCCUUCUCCCAAUGCAAGUAUAAAUCAAAACGACACCCCAAUGAUAAUUAACGUAAAUGCAAAAAUAUAGUAACAUAUGUCUAGAAAACUCUAUAAUUUCAAACGUUAACCUUACACCAGAGCAUUACAGGAAAGAUUUAAAGAGAAAGAAGGAACUCGGCAAACUUCAGCCCCGCCUGUUUACCAAAAACAUCGCCUCUUGAUCCCCAUAAGAGGUCUAGCCUGCCCAGUGACAAAGUUCAACGGCCGCGGUAACCUAACCGUGCAAAGGUAGCAUAAUCACUUGUUCUCUAAAUAGGGACUCGUAUCAAUGGCAUCACGAGGGCUUCACUGUCUCCUUUCUCCAAUCAGUGAAACUGAUCUCCCCGUGAAGAAGCGGGGAUUUUAAU
rnacentral:rRNA from 1 species